rnacentral:rRNA from 2 species
UUUGACCGCUCUAGAGAWAGAGUCUUCCCCUUYGGGGGACAAAGUGACAGGUGGUGCAUGGUUGUCGUCAGCUCGUGUCGUGAGAUGUUGGGUUAAGUCCCGCAACGAGCGCAACCCUUAAGCUUAGUUGCCAUCAUUAAGUUGGGCACUCUAGGUUGACUGCCGGUGACAAACCGGAGGAAGGUGGGGAUGACGUCAAAUCAUCAUGCCCCUUAUGAUUUGGGCUACACACGUGCUACAAUGGAUAAUACAAAGGGCAGCGAAUCCGCGAGGCCAAGCAAAUCCCAUAAAAUUAUUCUCAGUUCGGAUUGUAGUCUGCAACUCGACUACAUGAAGCUGGAAUCGCUAGUAAUCGUAGAUCAACAUGCUACGGUGAAUACGUUCCCGGGUCUUGUACACACCGCCCGUCACACCACGAGAGUUUGUAACACCCGAAGCCGGUGGAGUAACCUUUUAAGAGCUAGCCCUCCAAGGUGGGACAAAUGAUUGGGGUGAAGUCGUAACAAGGUAGCCGUAUCGGAAGGUGCGGCUG